GCGAAAGUAGCUCAGCUGGUAGAGCAUCACGUUGCCAACGUGAGGGUCGACGGUUCAAAUCCGUUCUUUCGCU
rnacentral:tRNA from 1 species